AAGCUGCCCAAUGAAGGGCUGG
rnacentral:miRNA from 1 species